rnacentral:rRNA from 1 species
UACAGAGGGGCAAGCGUUAUUCGGAAUUAUUGGGCGUAAAGGGCGCGUAGGCGGCUUUUCAAGUGACGGGUGAAAUCCCUCGGCUUAACCGAGGAACUGCCUGUCAGACUGGAAGGCUUGAGACCGGGAGAGGUGAGUGGAAUUCCCAGUGUAGCGGUGAAAUGCGUAGAUAUUCGCAAGAACACCAGUGGCGAAGGCGGCUCACUGGCCCGGUACUGACGCUGAGGUGCGAAAGCGUGGGAGCAAACAGG